rnacentral:rRNA from 1 species
UCAAGUGAAGAAGCGCAUACGGUGGAUGCCUUGGCAGUCAGAGGCGAUGAAAGACGUGGUAGCCUGCGAAAAGCUUCGGGGAGUCGGCAAACAGACUUUGAUCCGGAGAUGUCUGAAUGGGGGAACCCAGCCAUCAUAAGAUGGUUAUCUUGUACUGAAUACAUAGGUGCAAGAGGCGAACCAGGGGAACUGAAACAUCUAAGUACCCUGAGGAAAAGAAAUCAACCGAGAUUCCCUUAGUAGUGGCGAGCGAACGGGGACUAGCCCUUAAGUGGCUUUGAGAUUAGCGGAACGCUCUGGAAAGUGCGGCCAUAGUGGGUGAUAGCCCUGUACGCGAAAAUCUCUUGGUCAUGAAAUCGAGUAGGACGGGGCACGAGAAACCUUGUCUGAAUAUGGGGGGACCAUCCUCCAAGGCUAAAUACUACUGACUGACCGAUAGUGAACUAGUACCGUGAGGGAAAGGCGAAAAGAACCCCGGAGAGGGGAGUGAAAUAGAUCCUGAAACCGUAUGCGUACAAGCAGUGGGAGCCCACGUUGUUGGGUGACUGCGUACCUUUUGUAUAAUGGGUCAGCGACUUAUUUUCAGUGGCGAGCUUAACCGAAUAGGGGAGGCGUAGCGAAAGCGAGUCUUAAUAGGGCGUCUAGUCGCUGGGAAUAGACCCGAAACCGGGCGAUCUAUCCAUGGGCAGGUUGAAGGUUGGGUAACACUAACUGGAGGACCGAACCGACUACCGUUGAAAAGUUAGCGGAUGACCUGUGGAUCGGAGUGAAAGGCUAAUCAAGCUCGGAGAUAGCUGGUUCUCCUCGAAAGCUAUUUAGGUAGCGCCUCAUGUAUCACUGUAGGGGGUAGAGCACUGUUUCGGCUAGGGGGUCAUCCCGACUUACCAAACCGAUGCAAACUCCGAAUACCUACAAGUGCCGAGCAUGGGAGACACACGGCGGGUGCUAACGUCCGUCGUGAAAAGGGAAACAACCCAGACCGUCAGCUAAGGUCCCAAAGUCAUGGUUAAGUGGGAAACGAUGUGGGAAGGCUUAGACAGCUAGGAGGUUGGCUUAGAAGCAGCCACCCUUUAAAGAAAGCGUAAUAGCUCACUAGUCGAGUCGGCCUGCGCGGAAGAUGUAACGGGGCUCAAACCAUGCACCGAAGCUACGGGUAUCACUUAGGUGAUGCGGUAGAGGAGCGUUCUGUAAGCCUGUGAAGGUGAGUUGAGAAGCUUGCUGGAGGUAUCAGAAGUGCGAAUGCUGACAUGAGUAACGACAAUGGGUGUGAAAAACACCCACGCCGAAAGACCAAGGUUUCCUGCGCAACGUUAAUCGACGCAGGGUUAGUCGGUCCCUAAGGCGAGGCUGAAAAGCGUAGUCGAUGGAAAACAGGUUAAUAUUCCUGUACUUCUGGUUAUUGCGAUGGAGGGACGGAGAAGGCUAGGCCAGCUUGGCGUUGGUUGUCCAAGUUUAAGGUGGUAGGCUGGACUCUUAGGUAAAUCCGGGAGUCUAAGGCCGAGAGCUGAUGACGAGUUGCCAUUAGGCGACGAAGUGGUUGAUGCCAUGCUUCCAAGAAAAGCUUCUAAGCUUCAGGUAACCAGGAACCGUACCCCAAACCGACACAGGUGGUUGGGUAGAGAAUACCAAGGCGCUUGAGAGAACUCGGGUGAAGGAACUAGGCAAAAUGGCACCGUAACUUCGGGAGAAGGUGCGCCGGUGAGGGUGAAGGACUUGCUCCGUAAGCCCAUGCCGGUCGAAGAUACCAGGCCGCUGCGACUGUUUAUUAAAAACACAGCACUCUGCAAACACGAAAGUGGACGUAUAGGGUGUGACGCCUGCCCGGUGCCGGAAGGUUAAUUGAUGGGGUUAGCUAACGCGAAGCUCUUGAUCGAAGCCCCGGUAAACGGCGGCCGUAACUAUAACGGUCCUAAGGUAGCGAAAUUCCUUGUCGGGUAAGUUCCGACCUGCACGAAUGGCGUAACGAUGGCGGCGCUGUCUCCACCCGAGACUCAGUGAAAUUGAAAUCGCUGUGAAGAUGCAGUGUAUCCGCGGCUAGACGGAAAGACCCCGUGAACCUUUACUAUAGCUUUGCACUGGACUUUGAAUUUGCUUGUGUAGGAUAGGUGGGAGGCUUUGAAGCGUGGACGCCAGUUCGCGUGGAGCCAACCUUGAAAUACCACCCUGGCAACUUUGAGGUUCUAACUCAGGUCCGUUAUCCGGAUCGAGGACAGUGUAUGGUGGGUAGUUUGACUGGGGCGGUCUCCUCCUAAAGAGUAACGGAGGAGUACGAAGGUGCGCUCAGACCGGUCGGAAAUCGGUCGUAGAGUAUAAAGGCAAAAGCGCGCUUGACUGCGAGACAGACACGUCGAGCAGGUACGAAAGUAGGUCUUAGUGAUCCGGUGGUUCUGUAUGGAAGGGCCAUCGCUCAACGGAUAAAAGGUACUCCGGGGAUAACAGGCUGAUACCGCCCAAGAGUUCAUAUCGACGGCGGUGUUUGGCACCUCGAUGUCGGCUCAUCACAUCCUGGGGCUGAAGCCGGUCCCAAGGGUAUGGCUGUUCGCCAUUUAAAGUGGUACGCGAGCUGGGUUUAGAACGUCGUGAGACAGUUCGGUCCCUAUCUGCCGUGGACGUUUGAGAUUUGAGAGGGGCUGCUCCUAGUACGAGAGGACCGGAGUGGACGAACCUCUGGUGUUCCGGUUGUCACGCCAGUGGCAUUGCCGGGUAGCUAUGUUCGGGAAAGAUAACCGCUGAAAGCAUCUAAGCGGGAAACUUGCCUCAAGAUGAGAUCUCACUGGAACCUUGAGUUCCCUGAAGGGCCGUCGAAGACUACGACGUUGAUAGGUUGGGUGUGUAAGCGCUGUGAGGCGUUGAGCUAACCAAUACUAAUUGCCCGUGAGGCUUGACCAU